AGAAAUAUCAUUAAUGAAAUUAGUGAAGUGACAAAACUCCCCAUAUUAAAGAAGUGAGGACCACAACCAUCUAUCACUUGUAUAUAUGUAUAUAUACCAUUGAUCCUUGAUAUACACCAAAAUUGGUCCUUCAUUCACAUCUAUGAAGAGAUAUUCAACACUCAAAACCAAAAACAAGAAGAGAAGAUCAACUUAAUCAUGUGGUUGCACUGAGGUCGAGUUUUCUG
rnacentral:lncRNA from 1 species